UCCUGUAAAGAUGACUGCAAGAGCACAGCGCAGACUGCUCAGUGAGGUGAAGAAGAAUCCUAGAGUGUCAGCUAAAGACUUACAAAAGUCACUGGCAAAUGCUAACAUCCCUGUUAGCGAAUCUACAAUACGUAAAACACUAAACAAGAAUGGAUUCCAUGGGAGGAUACCACAGAGGAAGCCACUGCUGUCCAAACAAAACAUUGCUACACGUUUACAGUUUGCACAAGAG